rnacentral:rRNA from 1 species
GCUUACAGCCACACUAGUGUAAAAGCGGUCGAUCUCGUCUGAUCUCGGAAGCUAAACACACUCGGGCUCGGCCAGUACUUGGAUGGGAGACCACCUGGGAUCCCCAAGUGCAGUAAGCU